UACGUAGGGUGCAAGCGUUUGUCCGGAAUUAUUGGGCGUAAAGAGCUCGUAGGCGGUUUGUUGCGUCGGCUGUGAAAUCCCGAGGCUCAACCUCGGGUCUGCAGUCGAUACGAGCAAACUAGAGUGUUGCAGGGGAGACUGGAAUUCCUGGUGUAGCGGUGAAAUGCGCAGAUAUCAGGAGGAACACCGGUGGCGAAGGCGGGUCUCUGGGCCGUAACUGACGCUGGAGGAGCGAAAGCGUGGGGAGCGAACAGG
rnacentral:rRNA from 1 species